CACAUGGAGCAGUAGCUUGAGAAAACUCUUGAUACUCUGAUGUCCAAGUGCAAGUAUUUAUUGAUGAUGCUCUCUCAGAGUUUAAUUUCUUUGGUGAAUUUAAUCCCUCAAUAAGCCAUGAGGGAUUAGUACAAUGCUCAAAUAUUUGGAGUCUGUCUUGGCUCCUUGUGCUGCAUUUGUUGUUUAUGCUUGUUAGCCUACGUUUAUUUGAAUGAAUUGAACACUGCAAAUUUCAUAGAUGGAAGGGACAUUCUGAAAACCAAAUACAAUGAUAUAAAUUUUAAAUCAUGACAUUCUACUUUUGCUACUAAUCAGAAGAUUUAACUGCACCCCCAAAAUAAAAGACGAAGAACUUUAUGUUAAAUUCAUAAAGGUGAAGCAAGCAUUAAAAUUAGUUUUUUUACUUUAUUUAUCCAAUAAUUUCACUGAAGCUCUAUAUUUUAGAACAGAAGCUCUAUAUUUAUGUUCUCAGUUGUGGAAGAAAGCAACCCAUUAAAGAAAACAGCAAGACCUUGAGCUCAGCUCACAGCUGCCCUCCUAAUUCCUAGAGCCAAGCAUAAAGAUUGAGUGCAAAGACGUCUAUAAGUCAUUUGGUGAGAAGCAAAUAUUGAGAAGGUGUGAGCUUCAAGUCAGCGAUUCAUUGGUGUGGUUAAUAGGGUUCUAAUAAUUGGAAUCUGCAUAUCUUUUGCUGCUCUUGUGAACUAAGCUAUAAUGGUGAUGGAUAAGAGUUGGAUUCAACUAGCCACUAGGGGGAAGCCAGAAUAUACUA